rnacentral:lncRNA from 1 species
CGCCGAUCGAGGUAAAUUUCAUACUCCCGACUCGUUUUUCCACGCUGAUUCCUCCUAUGGCCAAAUCGAAGCCAAAAUCCCGGCCAAACGGCCGGAAUACGCGGCCGAAGACCAGCGGCGCCGCCGCGCCCCCUCUCGGUUUUUCCCUCCGACGAGGCCCUUCCCGGCCUCUGUUUGAUGCAAUUUUUAUAUCACCGUGAUCACCAUUCUUUUCUCUACAGGUUGACCGGAGCCGAAUCACCAAAACACGAACCUCACUGGAGAGCCGCCGCACCCGAGAGCGACGCCGCCGGUAAGCUCCGUUUUUCCGUAUUUUUUGGCCCCCCGAGGGCCCUAGGGUUGUUUUCUCACAGGGACCGAUGCGAGUGUGGCCGAAUUCGGCCGAAAACAGCCAACCCGAGGUAACUCACCGCCCCAGCGGCGGCGCCGUCGCCGGAGCACGGCGGAGCCGCCGUGCCGGAGUUGCGAUUUGGGCCGAAAGAGGCCCUGGGCCUAAUUUGGAUUUUUUUUGGAACACGUGCAGGUGCCGUUAGUG